rnacentral:rRNA from 1 species
CACUCCUACGGGAGGCAGCAGUGAGGAAUAUUGGACAAUGGGUGGAAGCCUGAUCCAGCCAUCCCGCGUGCAGGAAGACGGCCCUAUGGGUUGUAAACUGCUUUUAUCUGGGGAUAAACCUACUUACGUGUAAGUAGCUGAAGGUACCAGAAGAAUAAGCACCGGCUAACUCCGUGCCAGCAGCCGCGGUAAUACGGAGGGUGCAAGCGUUAUCCGGAUUUAUUGGGUUUAAAGGGUCCGUAGGCGGACUGAUAAGUCAGUGGUGAAAUCCGACAGCUUAACUGUCGAACUGCCAUUGAUACUGUUAGUCUUGAGUAAGGUUGAAGUGGCUGGAAUAAGUAGUGUAGCGGUGAAAUGCAUAGAUAUUACUUAGAACACCAAUUGCGAAGGCAGGUCACUAAGUCUUAACUGACGCUGAUGGACGAAAGCGUGGGGAGCGAACAGGAUUAGAAACCCUAGUAGUCCCAUGA